rnacentral:rRNA from 1 species
GGCCGCGGUAUCCUGACCGUGUGAAGGUAGCAUAAUCACUUGUUCUUUAAAUGGGGACUAGUAUCAACGGCAUCACGAGGGUCCCACUGUCUCCCCCCUCCAAUCAGUGAAACUGAUCUCCCCGUGAAGAAGCGGGGAUAAGUAUAUUAGACGAGAAGACCCCAUGGAGCUUUAAACCCGACAGCACCCACUUAUUUAACACCUUCUUAUCCGCCUGGCCCCUGUCUGCUCGGUUUUGGGUUGGGGUGACCGCGGAGCAUAAAAUAGCCUCCACGAAAGAAGGGAUGAUUCCCUCAUUUUAGAACUACACUUCCAAAGACUAACAAAUUAAUUUUAAGUGAUCCGAUACCCGUAUUCGAUCAACGAACCAAGUUACCCUGGGGAUAACAGCGCAAUCUACCUCAAGAGCCCCUAUCGACAGGUG